rnacentral:rRNA from 1 species
AUGAACGCUGGCGGCGUGCCUAAUACAUGCAAGUCGAGCGAACGGACGAGAAGCUUGCUUCUCUGAUGUUAGCGGCGGACGGGUGAGUAACACGUGGAUAACCUACCUAUAAGACUGGGAUAACUUCGGGAAACCGGAGCUAAUACCGGAUGAUAUUUUGAACCGCAUGGUUCAAAAGUGAAAGACGGUCUUGCUGUCACUUAUAGAUGGGUCCGCGCUGCAUUAGCUAGUUGGUAAGGUAACGGCUUACCAAGGCAACGAUGCAUAGCCGACCUGAGAGGGUGAUCGGCCACACUGGAACUGAGACACGGUCCAGACUCCUACGGGAGGCAGCAGUAGGGAAUCUUCCGCAAUGGGCGAAAGCCUGACGGAGCAACGCCGCGUGAGUGAUGAAGGUCUUCGGAUCGUAAAACUCUGUUAUUAGGGAAGAACAUAUGUGUAAGUAACUGUGCACAUCUUGACGGUACCUAAUCAGAAAGCCACGGCUAACUACGUG